UCCCCGGUAGCCAAGUGGUAAGGCAAGUGACUGUUAAUCACUGUAUCGCUGGUUCGAAUCCAGCUCGGGGAGC
rnacentral:tRNA from 4 species